rnacentral:rRNA from 1 species
UACGUAGGGGGCUAGCGUUGUCCGGAAUCAUUGGGCGUAAAGCGCGCGUAGGCGGCCAGAUAAGUCCGGUGUGAAAGUCACAGGCUCAACCUGUGAAUGCCGCUGGAAACUGUCUGGCUCGAGUCCGGGAGGGGCGAGUGGAAUUCCUGGUGUAGCGGUGAAAUGCGCAGAUAUCAGGAGGAACACCGAUUGCGAAGGCAGCUCGCUGGGACGUAACUGACGCUGAGACGCGAAAGCGUGGGGAGCAAACAGG